AUGCCGCCGCCUCCGCCACCAUCGCGAGCGGUGGCUCCUCCCCCUCCACGCCGGCGGCAACGACGACGCCUGAAAGGACGAACGUACAACAUCCACGUGUUCAAUUACUACCGCUACCCGCCUCCGCCGCCGGUGGAGGAGGAGCGGGACUGGACGGAGCUGCCGCUGGACGUGACAUUAAAAAUCUUCCGCUGCCUAGACCCCGUCGAACUCCUCGGCCGCGUGGGGCGGGUCUGCCGCUUAUGGCGCGGCGCCACGCGCGACGAGCCCGAGCUGUGGCGCCGCAUCCACAUGGGUGGCUGCUCCCGGGACCUCCGUCUGGACGUCUUUGCCCGGGAGGCCGCGCGACGCAGCUCCGGCCGGUGCGAGGCGUUCUCCGGAGACUACUUCGGCGACGACGACUUCCUCUCCUUCCUUGCCGAUCAGUGA
rnacentral:rRNA from 1 species